CUGGUAUUCAUUCACUAAUCCUGUCGGUUUCUGUUGACCAUAUUCAAACACUAGGUCACACAAUUGUAUAAUGAAAUGUGUUGGUAAAGUGUGUCAGUGACAAGACACAGGAGAAAUUAUAAAGUAUUAGUCAGGUUAGAAAUUCACAGACUGAUUGCUGCUGGAGCUAAUAAUAUAACGACAAUCAAUUUGACUGCCCAGUUUAUUGCCAUCUGUGCUGUGAAAAAUGUUGGCCCUAUAUAAAUGCUAGUUAUAAUAAUAAUCUGCUCUAC